AGAGUUUGAUCCUGGCUCAGGAUGAACGCUGGCGGCGUGCCUAAUACAUGCAAGUCGAACGCUUCACUUCGGUGAAGAGUGGCGAACGGGUGAGUAAUACAUAAGUAACCUGGCAUCUACAGGGGGAUAACUGAUGGAAACGUCAGCUAAGACCGCAUAGGUGUAGAGAUCGCAUGAACUCUAUAUGAAAAGUGCUACGGGACUGGUAGAUGAUGGACUUAUGGCGCAUUAGCUUGUUGGCAGGGUAACGGCCUACCAAGGCGACGAUGCGUAGCCGACCUGAGAGGGUGACCGGCCACACUGGGACUGAGACACGGCCCAGACUCCUACGGGAGGCAGCAGUAGGGAAUUUUCGGCAAUGGGGGAAACCCUGACCGAGCAACGCCGCGUGAAGGAAGAAGUAAUUCGUUAUGUAAACUUCUGUCAUAGAGGAAGAACGGUGGAUAUAGGGAAUGAUAUCCAAGUGACGGUACUCUAUAAGAAAGCCACGGCUAACUACGUGCCAGCAGCCGCGGUAAUACGUAGGUGGCGAGCGUUAUCCGGAAUUAUUGGGCGUAAAGAGGGAGCAGGCGGCACUAAGGGUCUGUGGUGAAAGAUCGAAGCUUAACUUCGGUAAGCCAUGGAAACCGUAGAGCUAGAGUGUGUGAGAGGAUCGUGGAAUUCCAUGUGUAGCGGUGAAAUGCGUAGAUAUAUGGAGGAACACCAGUGGCGAAGGCGACGAUCUGGCGCAUAACUGACGCUCAGUCCCGAAAGCGUGGGGAGCAAAUAGGAUUAGAUACCCUAGUAGUCCACGCCGUAAACGAUGAGUACUAAGUGUUGGGUGUCAAAGCUCAGUGCUGCAGUUAACGCAAUAAGUACUCCGCCUGAGUAGUACGUUCGCAAGAAUGAAACUCAAAGGAAUUGACGGGGGCCCGCACAAGCAGUGGAGCAUGUGGUUUAAUUCGACGCAACGCGAAGAACCUUACCAAGACUUGACAUCGAUUAAAUACCCUAGAGAUAGGGGGAUAGCUAUAGUCGAUACAGGUGGUGCAUGGUUGUCGUCAGCUCGUGUCGUGAGAU
rnacentral:rRNA from 1 species